UUUACAUUGCAUUUAGCACUCUCUAAGUGUUAGCAGUUAUUACAGAGCCAUUUCCUAGUUUCCUGUGUUCUGUCUGGUUUUCUAAGUUUUGUAUUCUCGCCUAUUUAUCUCGUCUAGUCUGUUUCGCUGCCUGCUCUGGAUCUCUCACAUGUCUAUUGGAUUACCCUUUUGCCUAGCCCCCUGAAUUAUGUUGGCUGUUGAUCGACCCUUGCCUGUCUUGGAUUACUCUUGUGUCUUGUCCUCAUAUACCUGUUUGCCGAUGUUCAACCCUGCCUGCUGUUUUGACUAUGUCUUCAUUCGAAAAGCUUUGCGCAUGGAUCCGCCCGCUUCACGCGUCAGUCACUCCGUUACACAUGAACGCACUUCCAUUUAGCAAAUUCCUCUCUGAUUUUGGUGAACACCCUCAUCUUUGAGUUUCUUAGAUCCUCUUCUGCUCUCUUCACUCCUUCAAGGGCAUCAUUGAACUGGCGAAUUUUCUGCAGAGCGCAAAAGUCUCAUCAGGUUAUGAGACUGAAGGAAAAGGAACUCCAUCUCCCAGUGCUCUGAAAUCCUCAGACGUCUUGUCUAAUUUCAUCUCAAGUUGUUUCUGCAACUGUGGCAGCGUUUUCUAGUGGCAACUCUGGCAAUGCCUGGCAGGUCGAUGAGAGUGAGGUCAGGAACAUCACUAGACUGGAUCUCCAGAGUGAUCAUCUCAUGACUGAUCCCUUCACCCUUUCCAGCCAAUACUAUCUGAGCUACAAAACAAUACAAUGUUAUAAUCAUCCCAUCAAUGACAAACAAUUAACUCAACUAUUCUAAAGACACUCGAGGCAUUGAAGUUCUCAAUAAGCUGUAUAUUAAUCUGACCAUUAAAAUACAGACCAUUUAA